rnacentral:tRNA from 2 species
GGGCCUAUAGCUCAGCGGCAGAGCUACCGGCUCAUAACCGGCAGGUCCCAGGUUCGAAUCCUGGUAGGCCCACCA